CAGUCGCCGCGGGAACACGGAGGGUGCAAGCGUUAAUCGGAAUUACUGGGCGUAAAGCGUGCGUAGGCGGUUCGUUAAGUCUGUUGUGAAAGCCCCGGGCUCAACCUGGGAAUGGCAAUGGAUACUGGCGAGCUAGAGUGUGUCAGAGGAUGGUGGAAUUCCCGGUGUAGCGGUGAAAUGCGUAGAGAUCGGGAGGAACAUCAGUGGCGAAGGCGGCCAUCUGGGACAACACUGACGCUGAGGCACGAAAGCGUGGGGAGCAAACAGGAUUAGAUACCCCAGUAGUCCCUGUCUCUUAUAA
rnacentral:rRNA from 1 species